GACGAACGCUGGCGGCGUGCUUAACACAUGCAAGUCGAACGGAAAGGCCCUGCUUUUGUGGGGUGCUCGAGUGGCGAACGGGGGAGUAACACGUGAGUAACCUGCCCUUGACUGUGGGAUAACUUCAGGAGACUGGGGCUAAUACCGGAUAGGAGCUCCUGCUGCAUGUGGGGGGUUGGAGAGUGUCGGCGGUUGGGGAUGGACUCGCUGCUUAUCCGCUUGUUUGUGGGGUAGUUGUUGACCAAGGGUUUGACGGGUAGCCUGCAUGAGAGGGUUAACGGGGACCAUGCGACUGCGAUACGCAGCAGUAUCGUAUGGGACGCAGCAGUGGGGAACCUGGCACAAUGGGCGGACGUCUGAGGCAGAGGCCCCGCGUGCGGGAUGACCGCUUUCGGGUUGUAAACAGAUGUCGAAUGUGCUGAGGCGGUAGUGACGGUACUGGGUCAAGAAGCCACGGCUAACUACGUG
rnacentral:rRNA from 1 species